rnacentral:lncRNA from 1 species
CCAUCCAAGGGCCGGCUGCAGUCUGUUUAGGUCUUCAGACACAAGAAGAAAGCCACAGCUGUGGUGCAUGGCAAACGCCCUAAUGGCCUGGUCAAGGUGAACUGGCGGCCCUGGAGACAAUUGAGCCAGGCAGGCUGCAAUACAAGCUGCUAGAACCAGUGCUGCUUCUGGGCAAGGGGCGAUUUGUUGGUGUGUACAUUCAUGAAGGGUGAUGGGUGAUGGUCAUGUGGGUCCUAUAUGUACUAUCUGUCAGUCCAUCUCCAAAGCCCUUGUGGCCUGUUGCCAGAAAUAUAAGAAAUAUGUCGAUGAGGCUUCCAAGAAGGAGAUCAAAGACAUCCUCAUCCAGUAUGACAUGUAUCCUUCUGGCAGCUGACACUGGUUGCUGCAAGUCCAAAGUUUGGAGGCCCUAGUGCCCAUAUUCGCUACCGUGAAUCCUGCCAA